UGCAGCCUCAUGAAUCUCUGGUGAUUCUCCCCUUAUUUGGCAAGAGGCUGAGGAUGACACAGCAGAAACGCCACCACCAUGUCAUCACUGCACGGCUAUUUCUGGCUAAUGUCUUUACUUGGCUCCUCAUAAGGGACCUCGUGCACUACAGAUGCCUUUCAACCGCAGACAGGGGAGGAGAAAGACGAUGGCAGCAGCAAUAAAAGAGAAUGACGAUGGUCCCGCCCCUCUUUCAUUGUGUGGAGGAAGCAUCAUAUCACAUCCCAUCAUGGUUUCAGCCGACUGACCGAGAUGCUGCUUGAGUUACACCGCCCCAUUCACAAGGCCCGAUUCAUCACCCAGUGUGCAUUUCUGUCACCUUAUCCACUUUUAUAUAACUACUGUAUAUCAGCAGACAAUGAGAAAACUUGUUUAUAGUGAACAAAAAUAACAAAAACAGUACCAAUAUUUACAUCACUGUACAGCAUGUCUUAUGAAAUUAAAGGGAAUGGCGAUUG